GUUUCUCCUUAUCCUUCAUUCAGCUUCUAACAAAAAUAUAACCAAGUAAAAAUAUUGUAAAAAUUUUUUGUUUGAUUCCUAAUAACUUACAUUCAAUCUAAAUCCACCCGAGACAGAGAACUGGUACAAUACGUCCUAUGUUAUUUUAACUUAAAAUUACUUAUAAACUGUUUUAUGGAAAUUUGGGUUUGGGCUAAAGCCCCCAAUGUUUUGAGACCCUAAAAACGCACCUGGGAUUAAGUAUUUUUGUGCUGCUCUUUUGCAAUUUUUAACCAGUCAAUUGAAAAAAAAGAUUUAACCUAAUCGAUUCUUAGUUCAAAACCUUAAGACAACUUUCAAAAACAUGAGUGAGAGCCUUUAAUUAGUUAUCCGUACAGAACCUCAAAACACUUGUUUUAUAAUUUGAUCAUUAUAUGAACCAACAUUUAAUUCUGCUUUCAGAAAAAGACUAAUAACCAUUUACUAAUUACUAGUUUUAAAUUUGAUUCCCAACAACUAAAAACAAAGAUCCCCGCAAGCUACCACUGCAACAUUAUCAACUGCGUGAAGCAGCCACGCCUGCGGUCACGCGCAAAGACAGCGACAUCAACCGCGUGGAAAGAACACAAGCUCAGCUGGCACGAGGGAGUUGAGGUGAACGCAUAUCCCGAGCUGUACGCUUGUACUGGGAUGAGUUGAAAAUGAAAUGAAGUGCGGGAGCGUCGCCGAAGCCGCGCGUAGUAUGUGCGAGCUCUGAGACAGAGGAUGCUGGAUCAUGAAGCGGCGGCCGAUAUGCGACUGGUCCAGCAAAUCGGCACGGGUAUGAAGAUCCAGGGCGGUGGCGAGCACGUCGGUUGCAGCAAGGUGGGAGAUGGCCAGGACAGCCGGGCUGUGUGCUUGCAAUGUCAGGAUGAAGUGGUGCGGGUCUGUCCGGGCAGCCCACACAGUCCCCGCCGCGCCUUCGCGACGCGCCUCUCCUCCGGAUCCGCAGACCGUGAACCCAGCAGCAGCAGCCACAAUGUGUCUUCAGGAACCUUUUACAGCUGUGUGAGUCAGAUCACAAUCGGGUUCGACCUCGGGGGUCAGGUGGCGAUUGGCUUCUCUCAUUGGAAGAGUCCUGUCAAAUCUAGCAGCCAGAAUCUCCCCAGUCUGGACUGUGUUCUAUCUGAGGCCUCAGCAGCCCCACCCAUUGAGCCGGUCUCCUGCCCUGCGUCACUGUCCAUCAACCCACUGCCCACCUGCAGUGCAAGUCAGGAGACGCUGUGUGACAGCAGCACGGAUGUGAGUUUAUCUCUACAUGGAUCUGAGCCCAAGCAGCAGAGCCCCCACCGACACAGAGAGCUGCUGCAGCCCUCGGCCUCUGGCUACCAGCCAGCGGAAAGACCUCUCGCUUUCCUGUACUGUGAGAGGGAGGACGUCAUGAAGGAGUCCUCAGAUGAAACCCUGGACUCCAGCAUUCAAGGCAACGUACCUCCACUGGAUGUGAAGGAGGUUAAGGUGGUGCUGCAAAAAGAAAGGUCAGAUGGCAUAAGCAGCCCAUCCAGAGAUGAUGACUCAACCCUUCAGAAACCUGCAAGCAGCAUCCUUGAUGACAACAGCAAAUCUCAAUUAGGCAUCAAAAAGGGGAGGAAUAAAUCGACUGGUGUUUGCUUCAGCGAUGGAAAAAGUCUCAUAGACUACAUCCUGGUUUACCGAAAGUCCAGCUCCCAGUCUGAGAAGAGGGAGAUUUUUGAGCGGAACAUCCGUGCUGAGGGGUUGUGCAUGGAGAAGGAGGCUUCUUUAACAAACAGCGACGUGAUCUUCCUGAAGCUGCAUGCACCAUGGGAUGUUCUCUGUCGCUAUGCAGAGCUCAUGAAUAUCCGCAUGCCAUUCAGGAGGAAGAUCUUUUACUUGCACAGACGACACAAGUUUUUAAGCAGGAUGGAGAAGCGCAUAAACAAGUUUCGGGGAUGGCUUCCCCGCAAGCCUAUGAAGUUUGACAACGACACUCUGCCCUACUUGGAGGAGAACGAAAGCUUCACAGCCCCCUUCAGUCGCUCAAGGAUCCAUCAUUUCAUCAUCCACAACAAAGACACGUUUUUCAACAAUGCCACCAGAAGUCGGAUUAUCCAUCACAUUCUUCAAAGGGUCAAAUAUGAAGAGGGAAAAAAUAAGAUGGGACUGAAUCGUCUUCUGACCAAUAACUCGUAUGAGGCCGCUUUUCCUCUUCAUGAGGGCAGCUACCACAGCAAAAACUCCAUCCGAACCCAUGGAGCAGAGAACCAUCGGCACCUGCUGUAUGAAUGCUGGGCCUGGUGGGGGGUCUGGUACAAGUACCAGCCACUGGACCUCAUCAGGAGGUAUUUUGGCGAGAAGAUCGGUCUGUAUUUUGCUUGGCUCGGCUGGUACACGGGGAUGCUGUUUCCUGCAGCUGUGGUCGGUCUGUUUGUGUUUCUUUACGGUGUUUUCACACUGGAGCACUGCCCUGUCAGCAAAGAAAUCUGCCAGGCCGCUGACAUCAUCAUGUGUCCCAUCUGUGACCAGUAUUGCCCCUACCAGAGGCUGUCAGACAGCUGCAUCUAUGCCAAGGUCACCCAUCUCUUUGACAACGGAGCAACUGUUUUCUUCGCUGUAUUCAUGGCAGUGUGGGCAACAGUCUUCCUAGAAUUCUGGAAAAGACGGAGAGCUGUCCUGGCAUACGACUGGGAUCUCAUUGACUGGGAGGAAGAAGAGGAUGAAAUAAGACCCCAAUUUGAGGCCAAAUACUCAAAGAAGGAAAGAAUGAACCCUAUAUCUGGAAAACCGGAGCCUUACCAGGCAUUCACUGACAAGUACAGUCGCCUCCUCGUCUCAUCGUCUGGAAUAUUCUUUAUGAUACUGGUGGUGAUUGCUGCAGUGUUUGGCAUCGUGAUUUACCGUGUGAUCACCGUCAGCACCUUCGCCGCAUUUGGCUGGGCACUCAUCAGGAACAACUCUCAGGUGGCGACAACAAGCACUGCUGUCUGUAUCAACUUCUGUGUCAUCAUGCUUCUCAAUGUGCUUUAUGAAAAAGUUGCUCUAUUCCUCACAAAUUUAGAGCAGCCAAGGACCGAGUCAGAGUGGGAGAACAGUUUUACCUUCAAGAUGUUCCUUUUUCAGUUCGUCAAUCUCAACAGCUCAACUUUCUACAUUGCCUUCUUUUUGGGAAGAUUCACCGGUCGGCCAGGCGCAUAUCUACGCCUUAUCAAUCGCUGGAAACUGGAGGAAUGCCAUCCCAGUGGCUGUCUGAUCGACCUCUGUAUGCAGAUGGGCAUCAUUAUGGUACUUAAACAGACGUGGAACAACUUCAUGGAGUUCGGCUACCCACUCAUCCAGAAUUGGUGGACCCGACAGAGGUUAAAGAGGGAGCACGGCCACAUACCCAAGGCCAGCCUCCCCCAGUGGGAGAAGGACUACAACCUACAGUCAAUGAAUGCUUAUGGACUCUUUGAUGAAUACCUGAAGAUGAUUUUGCAGUUUGGCUUCACCACCAUCUUUGUGGCAGCAUUUCCUCUGGCUCCCCUCUUAGCGCUGAUCAACAACAUCAUUGAGAUCCGUUUAGAUGCCUACAAAUUUGUCACACAGUGGCGGCGACCUCUGCCAUCACAAGCCAAAGACAUCGGAAUCUGGUAUGGCAUUCUGGAGGGUAUCGGCAUCUUGUCUGUCAUCACCAACGCCUUUGUCAUCGCUGUCACCACAGACUUCAUCCCGCGCCUUGUUUACGCCUACAAAUACGGACCUUGUGCUGGUCAGGGUCGAGCCGGGGAGGGGUGUAUGAUGGGUUACGUCAAUGCCAGUUUGUCUAUCUUCCGAGUUUCUGACUUUGAGAAGAGAUCUCAGCCAAGAACUAAUGGCUCUGAAUUUUUUGAAGAGGCUGUGAAGUACUGCAGGUAUCGGGAUUACAGGGAGCCUCCAGACUCAACUGAGCCGUACACCUAUACUCUGCAGUUUUGGCACGUCCUAGCAGCCCGGCUGGCGUUUAUUAUUGUUUUUGAGGUCUGUUUUUUGUGUUGUAGUUUUGUAGUUUGUAAGCAGGAAAACGUACACUUUAAAAUGUUCUUAUCACUAAAAUUUACGCAUUGUCAGUCACUGCUGGGAAUGGUCCUAUGAAUUGUAUGUGAAGGCACUUCAUAUUGUAAUAUUAAAGAAUUAACAGCUGGUCCUUGACCAGAUAAUUUAACUGCUGUUCCUAGACCAGAUUACCUGUGUAGACUGUCCUUCACCCUACCUCUGUAGAGGGCCACCAGACACCAGAGUAUAUGCAAAACACAGGAAUUUGUCAUUUAUUAAAAGGAGUUACAGCAAAUAUAUACCAAGACAUGUUCACAAAAUACCCUUCCCUCACCAUUAGGUAUUGGAGUCACUGGAAAAUGUAAGCAUGUCUCACAUCAAUAAAUGUAAAUAUGGUAAGAAUGAAAUAACAUUUCCAAUAUUCCAAUGAUCUAAAGAGCUGCGGCCACAACACCUUUCGAAGCUAAGGGAGGUAACAUUAUUCAGUACAAUACAGCAUUUAUAUAUUAUCUGUAAUGAUGUAGCAUUGGCCAGUAAGAAAAUUGGCAAAUCAGGAGAGCCUUUUGGCUACUCAGAGACUACUUGUCACUUCAAAUUUACAUUAUCUGAUCCAGUAAACAAUGCCAAACUACAGUCAAUAGCCAAAGAAGCUGUUCUGCAUUAGAGAGGAGUUUUUCAUGGGUGCAGCCCACUCACUGCUCAACCCAUGAAUGCAUUUCCUAACAGAUGUGGCACCGUUUGAGGGAAAAUAGAAAGGCUUUCCAUUAGUAUCCAAUUUGUUGCCAAGAUGUAUUUUACAGCAAAUAAAUAAUUGACCAAACACAAAUUUGCACACUCUUCAUUUUAGGUUUAGAUGACAUCCUGUUGCCAAAGCCAUAGGUGGUUACUUGAAGAAAGCAAAGUCCAAGAAAGAAAAUCCCUGAAUACCAGAUAUUUAAAGUAAAAAUGUAUUCUGAUAAUGUUGUUUUGUUGAUGUUGUGAAGUAUCUGAUCAUUUCUUUUAUCUUUUUUUUAUUCCAAACCUUUUGCCUACAGUGUAUGUGUUCAAUAUAUGAGUUGCCAGUCAAGUUAAGCGACACAAAUCUUGAAACCAAAAAUCACAGAAAAUCUGGUUUUAUUUACAUUAUGGAGAUCUGGCUCUUAGAAUUCUAAUGGAGGGGUCUGU